rnacentral:misc_RNA from 1 species
UCAAACUUGGUCAUUUAGAGGAAGUAAAAGUCGUAACAAGGUUUAUUCACCUAUCUGGAAGCCUUGAAUUGAAGAGUCUGCAUCUUUGCGGGCAACAUCAGCCUGUUGCUAGAAUCCCUUACAGCCUAAGGUUCCUAGCAGUCGUGUUUCACGAUUCACAGAUCAAGUACUGGUGGUUCACUCUCUAAGCUUAGGGAUGAAUUAUAACAUGACCGGUUCUCUUCUUACCAGGAAGGGAGGCAUACGUUCCGUAGGUGAACCUGCGGAAGGAUCAUUACAGUAUAUUGAAUUCUUAUUCAUAUCAACCCACACUGUGUACCUUUUAUUUGUUGCUUCCAUGGGACAUGGCUCUGCCACGUCGGCCUCUGGGCUGGUGAGUUCCCAUGGAAGGAAACCCAAUACUCUUUUUAUUUUUGACAUCUGUCUGAAUAGUUUUUUAUAAACGUUAAAACUUUCAACAACGGAUCUCUUGGUUCUCGCAUCGAUGAAGAACGCAGC